GGGAAGGUGGCUCAGUGGCAGAGUGCUUGCCUUGCAUCCAUGAGGCCCUAGGUUCGAUUCCUCAGCCCCA
rnacentral:tRNA from 1 species